GGCCAGGUAGCUCAGUUGGUGAGAGCAUCAUCCUGAUAUGCCAAGGUGGUGGGCUCCAUCCCUGGUCA
rfam:Myotis brandtii contig171280, whole genome shotgun sequence.